rnacentral:rRNA from 1 species
CGCAAUGGUCGAAAGACUGACGCAGCGACGCCGCGUGCGGGAGGAAGCCCUUCGGGGGUGUAAACCGCUGGUUACUCGGGGACGAACUUCCCGAUUUGUCGGGAUUGACGGUACCGGGGGAGGAAGCACCGGCUAACUCUGUGCCAGCAGCCGCGGUAAUACAGAGGGUGCGAGCGUUGUCCCGGAAUCACUGGGCGUAAAGGGCGCGUAGGCGGCUUCUCACGCGUGCGGUGAAAGCCCGGGGCUUAACUCCGGGUCUGCCGUGCGAACGGGGAGGCUUGAGUCUGGUAGAGGUCGAUGGAAUUCCGGGUGUAGCGGUGGAAUGCGUAGAGAUCCGGAAGAACACCGGUGGCGAAGGCGGUCGACUGGGCCAGUACUGACGCUGAGGCGCGACAGCGUGGGGAGCAAACAGGAUUAGAUACCCUGGUAGUCCACGCCGUAAACGAUGGGCACUAGAUCCGUUGGGGGAGCGACCCCUUGAGGGUCGGCGCUAACGCAUUAAGUGCCCCGCCUGGGGAGUACGGCCGCAAGGCUG